UACAGAGGUCUCAAGCGUUGUUCGGAUUCAUUGGGCGUAAAGGGUGCGUAGGCGGCGCGGUAAGUCGGGUGUGAAAUCUCGGAGCUUAACUCCGAAACUGCAUUCGAUACUGCCGUGCUUGAGGACUGGAGAGGAGCGCGGAAUUCCCGGUGUAGCGGUGAAAUGCGUAGAGAGUCGGGAGGAAGGCCGGUGGCGAAGGCGGCGCUCUGGAACAUUUC
rnacentral:rRNA from 1 species